rnacentral:rRNA from 1 species
UACGGAGGAUCCAAGCGUUAUCCGGAAUCAUUGGGUUUAAAGGGUCCGUAGGUGGAUGAUUAAGUCAGGGGUGAAAUCCUAUAGCUCAACUAUAGAAUUGCCCUUGAUACUGGUUAUCUUGAAUCAUUAUGAAGUAGUUAGAAUAUGUAGUGUAGCGGUGAAAUGCAUAGAUAUUACAUAGAAUACCAAUUGCGAAGGCAGAUUACUAAUAAUGUAUUGACACUGAUGGACGAAAGCGUGGGGAGCGAACAGGAUUAGAUACCCUGGUAGUCCACGCCGUAAACGAUGGAUACUAGCUGUUCGGAUUUAUCUGAGUGGCUAAGCGAAAGUGAUAAGUAUCCCACCUGGGGAGUACGUUCGCAAGAAUGAA